rnacentral:tRNA from 1 species
GCCCGGGUGGCGGAAAUGGUAGACGCGUUGGACUUAAAAUCCAAUGACCAGCAGUGGUCGUGCCGGUUCAAUUCCGGCUCCGGGUA